UUCUAACUUGCAAUCAUAUACACCAUUCAUACACAAUUUAAGAAAAAUGCGGAAAAGUAUAACGAAACGGAAUCAUGGUCAGAAGUCUGAUAUACAUUCAACAAUGGAAAAUGAAACCCAAAACCAUCUAACAACAUCUGAAAAUUGUCUGCAAAAAUCUCUAUUACAUGAUCAAAUAACAACUAUCUGAAUUCUGGGACAAGGCCCCCAGUAGACCAAAACCAAUCUCGUGAUAAAUGUCUGAAAGUGAAUAGGCCUUCUGAAAUAUAGAAGGCUCACCAACUGGACUUUGCACCUCUGUCUGAGAAUUUUACUGCUUAUCAAGACCCCUAGACUGUGCCUCAGAACCUGGAAGGGAGGGGGAGGGGGGUCAAUACAAUUGUACUGGUACGCAGAGCAAUCCAAAAUAAUGAAUUUAUACAUAUAUAACAUUGAUGAGAGCAAGUCAUAAAAACAUUAUGCAUGAAAUAGUUUAAAAUACAUGGGCCAUGUCGAAAGAUCUUAAAACAAUCUUGUCAAUGCAAUUUCAUUCUUUGUAUUACUUUUGAGCUAGGUGGUACACCCUACAUAUCUGAAAGUUUCCCAUAGAAAUAUGGGAUCCGUCAUUAACUCGACGGCCAAGCCCCAAAUCCAAGCUUGCCGCAAGGGUUGAAGUAUCUGAAUCCGAUACGCCCCAGGGCACUAGGCCAGCGUAUAAUAAUAUACCCGUAUCGGCAAAACACGGUUUCGGGCAAUGAAUCAUAUGACUCGUGCCUUCUUCGGGUAACCACCUAACUCUCUUAGUGCCCAGUUUUAACCCAUUAUAAACAUGCAUCUUUCUGAAUUCGAAAUCUGAAAUCUAAAAUGAAAUCUGUAUUCUUUUCUGAGUUUUAUCAUGACCUUAUCUGAUUUGGUAUCGUCAUACCAAGACUUGCAAGUCAUGUUUCUAUGCCAUAAAAAUAUCAUAUCACGGUCUUCUCUUUCAAAACAUAAAGUUCAGACCACCAUAUUUCAAAUAGUUCAAGAAGAUUCAUUCUUCAAUACAUUUAUCAAAUUAUGCAAAAAUCAUUCCUUUCAAUAUUUCAACAAGCAUGUAGUGGUCAUAAAUUUCAACAACCCAUGAAAUUCUUUUCAUAGAUAUAUAUAUUUUUAGCACUUACCAACAUGUAAAACCACCCUCUUUCUUCAACUCAAAAAUCAUAAUCAAGUCAUAAACAAAGUCAAGGUUUUUAUAUUAAAUCAUGUUUCCAAUAUCAUAUUUCGAACACAUCAUAUCUUACGAAGUUAAGAAACUUGUAAAUAAAAGAGGGAUUUUAAAUAGUUCAUGCUCUCAGUACAUAAUUCAAACUCAUCAAACUCUUACAUAUAUCUACUUAAACAUGGUUAUAAAUCAGAUUUGGGGCAAAGGCCUCAAGACCAAAACUUUAUCAUCAAUAAGUUUUCAUAAUACCGGAAUAGAAUAGUAAAUCCAAAACCCCUUUGUAAGAUAAUGAUUUCUAAACACUUAUUCAUAAUUAAAAAAAUUUAACCAUGCCCAUGUAGUUUUAGGAAAACCCCACGUACCUUAGAUUUUGUAGUUAGAAGAAUGGAACCUGAAUCUUAAUUGAUUUCUUGGAAUUCUUGGACCUAGAGCUUCAAUUCUUGAUCUUUGAUGAAGACCCUAAUUUGAUCAUGUUUCUUGAGAGUGGAGAGGAUUUGGUAUGUUGAAAACUGAUAUAAUAUGUAUUAUACAGCUUAGGGUAGAUUUAAACUCGUGAGGGUUAGGUUCUAGGGUGAGGAAAAGACCAAAAUACCCCUAAAGAAAUCACAAAUGUCGCAGG
rnacentral:lncRNA from 1 species